GUGACUGCGUACCUUUUGUAUAAUGGGUCAGCGACUUAUAUUCUGUAGCAAGGUUAACCGAAUAGGGGAGCCGGAGGGAAACCGAGUCUUAAUUGGGCGUUAAGUUGCAGGGUAUAGACCCGAAACCCGGUGAUCUAGCCAUGGGCAGGUUGAAGGUUGGGUAACACUAACUGGAGGACCGAACCGACUAAUGUUGAAAAAUUAGCGGAUGACCUGUGGCUGGGGGUGAAAGGCCAAUCAAACCGGGAGAUAGCUGGUUCUCCCCGAAAGCUAUUUAGGUAGCGCCUCGUGAAUUCAUCUCCGGGGGUAGAGCACUGUUUCGGCUAGGGGGCCAUCCCGGCUUACCAACCCGAUGCAAACUGCGAAUACCGGAGAAUGUUAUCACGGGAGACACACGGCGGGUGCUAACGUCCGUCGUGAAGAGGGAAACAACCCAGACCGCCAGCUAAGGUCCCAAAGUCAUGGUUAAGUGGGAAACGAUGUGGGAAGGCCCAGACAGCCAGGAUGUUGGCUUAGAAGCAGCCAUCAUUUAAAGAAAGCGUAAUAGCUCACUGGUCGAGUCGGCCUGCGCGGAAGAUGUAACGGGGCUAAACCAUGCACCGAAGCUGCGGCAGCGACACUGUGUGUUGUUGGGUAGGGGAGCGUUCUGUAAGCCUGUGAAGGUGUGUCGUGAGGCAUGCUGGAGGUAUCAGAAGUGCGAAUGCUGACAUAAGUAACGAUAAAGCGGGUGAAAAGCCCGCUCGCCGGAAGACCAAGGGUUCCUGUCCAACGUUAAUCGGGGCAGGGUGAGUCGACCCCUAAGGCGAGGCCGAAAGGCGUAGUCGAUGGGAAACGGGUUAAUAUUCCCGUACUUGGUGUUACUGCGAAGGGGGGACGGAGAAGGCUAUGUUGGCCGGGCGACGGUUGUCCCGGUUUAAGCGUGUAGGUGUGUGUUCCAGGUAAAUCCGGUUCACUUUAACACUGAGGCGUGACGACGAGGCACUACGGUGCUGAAGCAACAAAUGCCCUGCUUCCAGGAAAAGCCUCUAAGCAUCAGGUAACAUCAAAUCGUACCCCAAACCGACACAGGUGGUCAGGUAGAGAAUACCAAGGCGCUUGAGAGAACUCGGGUGAAGGAACUAGGCAAAAUGGUGCCGUAACUUCGGGAGAAGGCACGCUGACACGUAGGUGAAGUGAUUUACUCAUGGAGCUGAAGUCAGUCGAAGAUACCAGCUGGCUGCAACUGUUUAUUAAAAACACAGCACUGUGCAAACACGAAAGUGGACGUAUACGGUGUGACGCCUGCCCGGUGCCGGAAGGUUAAUUGAUGGGGUCAGCGCAAGCGAAGCUCCUGAUCGAAGCCCCGGUAAACGGCGGCCGUAACUAUAACGGUCCUAAGGUAGCGAAAUUCCUUGUCGGGUAAGUUCCGACCUGCACGAAUGGCGUAAUGAUGGCCAGGCUGUCUCCACCCGAGACUCAGUGAAAUUGAACUCGCUGUGAAGAUGCAGUGUACCCGCGGCAAGACGGAAAGACCCCGUGAACCUUUACUAUAGCUUGACACUGAACAUUGAGCCUUGAUGUGUAGGAUAGGUGGGAGGCUUUGAAGUGUGGACGCCAGUCUGCAUGGAGCCGACCUUGAAAUACCACCCUUUAAUGUUUGAUGUUCUAACGUGGACCCGUUACCCGGGUUGCGGACAGUGUCUGGUGGGUAGUUUGACUGGGGCGGUCUCCUCCUAAAGAGUAACGGAGGAGCACGAAGGUUGGCUAAUCCUGGUCGGACAUCAGGAGGUUAGUGCAAUGGCAUAAGCCAGCUUGACUGCGAGCGUGACGGCGCGAGCAGGUGCGAAAGCAGGUCAUAGUGAUCCGGUGGUUCUGAAUGGAAGGGCCAUCGCUCAACGGAUAAAAGGUACUCCGGGGAUAACAGGCUGAUACCGCCCAAGAGUUCAUAUCGACGGCGGUGUUUGGCACCUCGAUGUCGGCUCAUCACAUCCUGGGGCUGAAGUAGGUCCCAAGGGUAUGGCUGUUCGCCAUUUAAAGUGGUACGCGAGCUGGGUUUAGAACGUCGUGAGACAGUUCGGUCCCUAUCUGCCGUGGGCGCUGGAGAACUGAGGGGGGCUGCUCCUAGUACGAGAGGACCGGAGUGGACGCAUCACUGGUGUUCGGGUUGUCAUGCCAAUGGCACUGCCCGGUAGCUAAAUGCGGAAGAGAUAAGUGCUGAAAGCAUCUAAGCACGAAACUUGCCCCGAGAUGAGUUCUCCCUGAGACUUAGAGUCUCCUGAAGGAACGUUGAAGACGACGACGUUGAUAGGCCGGGUGUGUAAGCGCAGCGAUGCGUUGAGCUAACCGGUACUAAUGAACCGUGAGGCUUAACCUUAC
rnacentral:rRNA from 1 species